CUUAACUGCAUUACUCAGUUUAUCAAGUGUUUGCAUUGCAACUAAGUAUCAGCCGAUACAUGGAACAAGGCUCUGCUGCUUCCAGUGUUUGAUGCCUAUUUCAUCUGAGGCAGAUGCUUGGAGCCUGUUAACCUCUCACAUUAGGUCAUCCUGC